GUGCCAGCCGCCGCGGUAAUACGGAGGGUGCGAGCGUUAAUCGGAAUUACUGGGCGUAAAGCGUACGCAGGCGGUUUGUUAAGCGAGAUGUGAAAGCCCCGGGCUCAACCUGGGAACUGCAUUUCGAACUGGCAAACUAGAGUGUGAUAGAGGGUGGUAGAAUUUCAGGUGUAGCGGUGAAAUGCGUAGAGAUCUGAAGGAAUACCGAUGGCGAAGGCAGCCACCUGGGUCAACACUGACGCUCAUGUACGAAAGCGUGGGGAGCAAACAGGAUUAGAAACCCGGGUAGUCC
rnacentral:rRNA from 1 species